rnacentral:lncRNA from 1 species
UAUGUUCUGUAAGUAACACGAGCUGCACUACAAGAAUAUGAGAAUUUAGGGGACUUCCUUGCAACCACUGCCAUGCUACUUUCCCUUGUUCUAGUGCAAAGGACAAUGAUAAAAGUAGUUUAUGUUUUAGUUUGAGACAAUGAACAUCAUAUAAUCAUCAUAUUAAUCAACUUUUGGAAGCAUUUCCAGCAAUACAUUCAGAUCAUAACUCUAACAUGGCUGCAAUUGAUGAAGCAGUUUUGCACGCUGUUCCUAUAAGUAUGUGGUUCUCAUUAGCUUCUGCAUGCAAUUAAGGGAAUAAAGUUCAGUUUACAAGACCUGCAGCUGCAUGAUGGGCUUUGCUAAGCUUUGCAAGCUAUAUAUAUGAGGCAUAUGACAGGAAAUUAGUUUCUCUUGCCUGAUAGGCUUCAAUGUUCAACUGAGAACCAAAAUAAUGGUAGAACCAUAUGUGUAAUUCUUAUUGCUGGCUGCUUCCUCUUUUGGUGGAAGAAGUCAAGACAUAGUCCAUACCUGAGGGUAAUAUAUAAAAGUAUCUUCUUGGUUUGUGAUAACAUCCAUAGUCCAUACCUGAGAGUAAAAGUAGUCAUCAGCCUCAUGAUCAUUGAUUU